rnacentral:rRNA from 1 species
UACGUAGGGUGCAAGCGUUGUCCGGAAUUAUUGGGCGUAAAGAGCUCGUAGGCGGUUUGUCGCGUCUGCUGUGAAAAUCCAGGGCUUAACCCUGGACCUGCAGUGGGUACGGGCAGACUAGAGUGCGGUAGGGGAGAUCGGAAUUCCUGGUGUAGCGGUGAAAUGCGCAGAUAUCAGGAGGAACACCAAUGGCGAAGGCAGCACUCUGGGACGUGACUGACGCUGAGACGCGAAAGCGUGGGGAGCAAACAGG